GCGUAGGGUGAGUCGGCCCCUAAGGCGAGGCAGAAAUGCGUAGCUGAUGGGAAGCAGGUCAAUAUUCCUGCACCAUUGUUAGAUGCGAUGGGGGGACGGAUCGCGGAAGGUUGUCCGGGUGUUGGAAGUCCCGGUCGCUGCAUUGGAGAAGGCGCUUAGGCAAAUCCGGGCGCGGAAUUCAAGGGUGUGGCGCGAGCUCCUUAGGGAGCGAAGCAAUUGGAAGUGGUUCCAAGAAAAGCCUCUAAGCUUCAGUCUAACGAUGACCGUACCGCAAACCGACACAGGUGGGCGAGAUGAGUAUUCUAAGGCGCUUGAGAGAACUCGGGAGAAGGAACUCGGCAAAUUGGUACCGUAACUUCGGGAUAAGGUACGCCCUUGUAGCUUGACUGGCUUGCGCCAGAAGGGUGAAGGGGUUGCAAUAAACUGGUGGCUGCGACUGUUUAAUAAAAACACAGCACUCUGCAAACACGAAAGUGGACGUAUAGGGUGUGACGCCUGCCCGGUGCCGGAAGAUUAAAUGAUGGGGUGCAAGCUCUUGAUUGAAGUCCCGGUAAACGGCGGCCGUAACUAUAACGGUCCUAAGGUAGCGAAAUUCCUUGUCGGGUAAGUUCCGACCUGCACGAAUGGCGUAACGAUGGCCACACUGUCUCCUCCCGAGACUCAGCGAAGUUGAAGUGUUUGUGAUGAUGCAAUCUACCCGCGGCUAGACGGAAAGACCCCAUGAACCUUUACUGUAGCUUUGCAUUGGACUUUGAACCGAUCUGUGUAGGAUAGGUGGGAGGCUAUGAAACCGGAACGCUAGUUUCGGUGGAGCCGUCCUUGAAAUACCACCCUGGUUUGUUUGAGGUUCUAACCUUGGCCCGUGAUCCGGGUCGGGGACAGUGCAUGGUAGGCAGUUUGACUGGGGCGGUCUCCUCCCAAAGCGUAACGGAGGAGUACGAAGGUACGCUAGGUACGGUCGGAAAUCGUGCUGAUAGUGCAAUGGCAUAAGCGUGCUUAACUGCGAGACCGACAAGUCGAGCAGGUGCGAAAGCAGGUCAUAGUGAUCCGGUGGUUCUGUAUGGAAGGGCCAUCGCUCAACGGAUAAAAGGUACUCUGGGGAUAACAGGCUGAUACCGCCCAAGAGUUCAUAUCGACGGCGGUGUUUGGCACCUCGAUGUCGGCUCAUCUCAUCCUGGGGCUGUAGCCGGUCCCAAGGGUAUGGCUGUUCGCCAUUUAAAGAGGUACGUGAGCUGGGUUUAAAACGUCGUGAGACAGUUUGGUCCCUAUCUGCCGUGGGCGUUGGAUAUUUGAAGGGGGCUGCUCCUAGUACGAGAGGACCGGAGUGGACGAACCUCUGGUGUACCGGUUGUCACGCCAGUGGCAUCGCCGGGUAGCUAUGUUCGGAAGAGAUAACCGCUGAAAGCAUCUAAGCGGGAAACUCGCCUUAAGAUGAGAUAUCCCUGGGGACUAGAUCCCCUUGAAGGGUCGUUCGAGACCAGGACGUUGAUAGGUCAGGUGUGUAAGCGCAGUAAUGCGUUCAGCUAACUGAUACUAAUUGCCCGUAAGGCUUGAUCCU
rnacentral:rRNA from 1 species